CACGGGCCGCCCUCCUCCUUCCCCUGCGCCGGCCACCUAAAUCCAUCGCGCAGAUACCGCCGCAGCCCCAAAACCUAAACGGCGCCGCCGCUGUCGUCCCGCACUGGAUCGACCCGCCGCUAUCGCUCUGCUGCCGUGUACACGCGGUUCAACGCCUCAGCCCCAGGCCGUUCAAUGCCUCGCUGGCCUACGGCUCCUCCAUGGACGCCUAGCUCCUCUACUAGAGCCAUCGCGGCCCACGGCAGCCCAUGGUGGCGGAGUUCGUUGCGUCCAUCAGUCAAACCCCAUGGCUUCAGGGUGGCCGAGUUUUGUCGCCGCCGUCAGUUCGGACACCUGCGUCACUGCGUGUGUUGCUACCACGGCCAUUUGCUUCACUGUGUGCUCCGUCACCGGCCUCAUGCGCACCGUGACCCCUGGCGCACUCCUACCUCUCCCUGACACUGCUCAUGCCCUCCCAGGCUUGAUCUCCUGCUGCAGCAAUGAGCUCCUGUACAUUGCUGAAGUUUCGUACCUGACGGCACCAGCACGAGGAUGCAGCAGCCAGGCUGGACCCCAUGAACUGUGAUGCUCUACUGAUGGAGAGAAGUUUGGGAAACUGCACAAAUAUUGGUAUUUUGGAGUUAUGAAUUUGGUGCUCCGUAGGUGCCGGCUGGUAUAUGCAAGUCCUUAAAAGUAUUUAGGUGGGUGGUCCGACACCGUUGCGUCCAGCAGUCCAACACCGCCACCGGAGGGCGUUCACUGUUGCAAUGCCUACUUUCGCCCGCGCCUCCUUCCUAGUCAUCGUGAGACCUGACGGAAGAAGGCAGAACCUCUCUCUCGUACGCAGUAAUAUUGCUCUCUCGUCUGGUAGGCAGUAAUAUUGCUCUCUCAUCUCUCAUCUCGUAGGCAGUAAUAUUUUGAUGAAUGUGUUACAAAACAAAUGUUGUAUUGACAUUCAGUAACUUAGAGAGUGUAGCACAGAGAAACGUUGUUGUGUUGUGGAUGACAAAGAACACAGGUGAUAGCAAGUCCAGGUAUUACUACAUGGGGAGUACAAAACUACUUUUACUGAGAGAUCACUUGAAUCCUUGAUAGCUACUAGCCAUAGGAACUUAACCCAAAAAAAUGUGCAAAAAAGAAACAUUUUGUACUACCAUUAGUCAUCGAUGGCGUGUAAUGUUAUAUUUUCUUGCUUCCCUAGCGUUGAAUUAGAACAACAUUUUCAAGAGCUGCAUUAGCUCAUUACUUAUCUCUUGUAUUGUUAAUUUUAUUUUCAAAACCAAACUUGUACUGGGUACAUGAGUUCCGAUAGUAGCUUCUCUUUCACAAAUUUUACAUAAUCAAGCAUUCUUGAUGUGGUGCCUUUCUUCCAGAUAUAUAGAUUCAGUUUUGAAUCCGAUUCUCAAAUCAGACAAUCAUAAUUCUAUUGCCAGUUCUGAAACAAAGAAAUGUUUGCGUAUCAGUCCCAUAAACAGCACCAAAACGAAUCCCCAUCCUUGGCAACUUGCUGGCUUUGAUCUUCCAGGGCAGCAUGAAUGAUCAGUACUCCCUUUAAUCAAUGCGCGCUAAUCAAGUCCCCGAAUGGAUGUGAACAGAGUAUACUCCCAUGGUUUUGCGAGAAAUCGUACAAUAAGAGUACCGUUCACUGUGUAUUUUAUCAUCAGUUAAAAAUAAUCACAGAAAAUACUCUGUUUAGUUCAUUGCACAUUGUAAAUGAUACUUAGUCAAUGCACAUUGUAUGUAACGGCACACCUAUUCGUUCAUUUUUUUCCACAUCGUAUUGCCUACUGACCAAUGAAGAAAAAAAGUGUUAAUUGGGCUGACAUGAGUUAUUUUCUUACUGGUCUGUGCCCAUGUUGGAACUAUAAUUUUGUUAGUUUAGCCAAUUUAAUGCCUUUGUAUGCAUCAUCUUCUAAAGACACAUCCUGCAAUAUGUAUUCAUUAUGAUCACAGUAAUGUUGUGGGUGAAAGCCUGAACCAGAAAUCGCAGCUAAGUAUCCUGGUGGUGGAUUAGAGGGGAGCAUGAAUCGCAUUGGACUUUGUAUAAAACACUGAUGUUUGGGCCAUUUCUUUCAGUAUUAGCUCAGAGCCGACAGUAUUACGACUUAAAGCUGCCUCUUCCCCACUGAAUAGUGCUCCAGUCACCUGUUAUGCUACCUGAGUUCUGAACUACUGUUAAUACUUGAGAGAUGUAAUUUAUGCUUUCAAGCUAUUAGAAGAAAACAUUAAAUUACCGCCUUAUAAACAAUUUAAAUAUGCAUGACCUGUUGGCUGUUGGCAAUUGUUCUGAACAUCAGACAGGUAGAGCAUUCAGCGCGCUCUAAGCUGAAGACAGAUAGUAAGGUCCUGUAAAAUUGGCAUCUAGUGUGUUCUUGCCUGAAACUCUUCAGUUGAAAGUGAUGCAGUGGUACAACAUAGAUGGGGAUUUAGUCUAGUGGUAUGAUAUUUGCUUAGGGAGCAAAAGGUCCCGAGUUCAAUUCUCGGAAUCCCCAUGUUGAAAACCCUUUUGCAAUGCCAUUUUGAGCUUUUGGUGCUCUGAGGAUAAGGUUUUGGACCACAGGGUUGAUGAGGUUCAUAGCCUCACUAUGCAUGGCCAUUCCUGUUCUGUAUCUUGUGGCUGUGCUUCAACUGGAGAAGUUUUCGGCUAUAUCUGCAUGCUGUUGCAAGUUAGCGCUGCUGCAGUGAUGGAGAAACAGUAUAGUAAACAUAACAUUUAUAUAGCCUACUUAUUAGUUGCUAGUAUAACUCAAAAGAUGAUCAAAAUGCUUUUGGUCUAGUGGCAUAAUUCUUGCUUAGUCUGACUGCCGUUAACACAUGCAAACGGUACUGUAAACAUAUUUAUAGAGAAUACUUAGUCAAUGGCGUGCGAUGUGAAUGGUACUGUAAAUGGUACUGUAAACACAUGCAAACGGUACUGUAAACAUUGUAAAUGAGCCAUAUAGACAGGACCUUAAUGCGAUGUGAUGAUACUUGGUCAAUGCACAUUGUAUGUAACGGCACACCUAUCCGUUCAUUUUUUUCCACAUCGUAUUGCCUACUGACCAAUGAAGAAAAAAAGUGUUAACUGGGCUGACAUGAGUUAUUUUCUUACUGGUCUGUGCCCAUGUUGGGACUAUAAUUUUGUUAGUUUAGCCAAUUUAAUGCCUUUGUAUGCAUCAUCUUCUAAAGACACAUCCUGCAAUAUGUAUUCAUUAUGAUCACAUAGGUAUGUUGCAACAGUUCGACUCUCAGAGCUAGUAAGUUCGACGAAAAAACAGCACAAGGCAUGUCAGUUCGUGCAGAGCAUUUCAGUCUUUCAGUUCGUGAGCUCGUCAGUUCACCGAUGGGAUCCGCAGGUCAGCCCCUCUUAUUUGAUGGCAAAGCCGAUGCUAUUUUUCAUCCAUUUUAUGAAGAAAACUGAACUUGGUCAGAGUAAGAACACAACUUCAGUUGAUGAUUGCGGGUUCAUCAUUCUCUACGAGGAUGGAUCUGCCUCCCUGCUGACGGAGUGUUGGCGAAGACAGCUAUGGAGAGGAAACUGUCGAUGGUGAAGAAUUGGGAGCCGGAAGAGCAAAGCCGACAGCAGGGCCGAGCAGAAGAUGUCGACAAUGCUGUUGGGUCAUGGGAGAACACCAAGCAGAAGGCGGUCCUUGACGUGAAGCUCUGAAUGCCAGAGGUCUCGACUCUGAAUCUGGACCUUGCUAGUCGCCUUUUUUGUGUUUGCUAGAUCGGUACUAGUGCUCAGUAGUACGACAAGUAGCAGUACUGAUCAGUACGACUUACACAAUACUAGUAGUGAUCAGUACUAUUUUUAAUGUUAAUAGUAAUAUCCAUACAGUAUUGAUGAGUCAUACUGACAAGGAUGCCGUCUACAAUUCUGAACUUAUUGUUGACUCGUACUAGUACUGAUGAAAUGGGAAGCAAGUGUCACAUGAAUCCUCAAUUGAAUGGGAAGGAAAGUUGCAAUGAGACCCUGGGAAAUCACUAUUUAUUCUAUCCUU